CAUUAUAUUCUCCCCUCACUAUGGCAAUCAUGUCAUUGCUCAGCAGCUCAAACACGUCCAGACCAACCACUUCCCUACAUGAACGCAUCUAUCAUUAGCUGUGAUCUUAUCCUUCCUAAAAAUAAAGCCCACCCUCCCAAUUUUUCUUCCUGUAAUUUGCUGAUAUGGAAAUCAGCAUCACCCCGUUUGGACUCUGACGCAUGCAAUUCUCAGAGGAUCUGAUUCCUCGGGCUGAGAUUAGUGCGUCAACACGAGGUCUGUGGCUGUCUGGGUGUUUGUUGCUGUUCGCGGGUAUCUUGUCUAUGUGUCUCACUGUAUACUGCCCUUUAACUGUAAAGGCAGGCUGUUUGAGGCGAGGAAAGAGUGAUCUGUGCGUAAAAUGCAUUUCUGGCAUCAGAAUGUGUCAGAAACUUGCAGACUUAUUAGUGAGUGAUCUGACCGUCUGUUUUGUAGUGAGGUGCUUGAACCAUGUGAUAAAUAAUUAAAGGGACUUCCGAGGCCAUCUAAUACCACGUUGUUCAUUUGAUCACUCCAGGGAAAUAUAGGGGAAGUUCAAGAUGUUGAGUUGACUUCUUCCUUCUCCAUUUCUACUGGCUGGCAUGUUCUGACCCAUUUCAUGCUGAGAGGAGACAAAGACUCUGGCGGACUGGGGGUCGAGGUGACACACACACACACACACACACACACACACACACACACACACACACACACAAGUACACCGUGCUGUUCUUCCUUCCUGACAAGACAGCGGUGUCUAUCCCUGAUCCAGACCAGGCGGCGCUUCAACAUUGAGUCACCUUGACACAUAACUACUAGAUCAUUAAAUACUUGAGUAAAGUCCCUGCGAGCUGUAAAUUUCUACACUGCAAUCACAUAGUUGAAUAAUUUAAUCAUUUACUGUGUGUGGUGAUUAACAUGUAGUUUGCAACUAUUAAGAUAUAGUAGACUUUCUCUCUGAAUGAAGUGUGGGCCUGAAGGUUAUGGCCAAGAGCACUUUAAAAGCAAAAAUACAUCAUGUUAAGUUUGACAGUUUGCUUCCGUUUUAUGACUGACUUGAAUGUGUUUCAUACCAUUUGUUGUUUUGUAUUUUUUGUCCUUCCUAGUUACUAGUUUUAUAACAAAAUAAAACUGCCCUGACAGUUAAUUUGUGAACAGUGCUAUUAUAUGUAACAAAUCUGAGCUCUGAAAUGGCUCAGGUGGAAGAAUGAAAAUGAUUCUUCCAAGAAUCAUGAGCAGUGAGCUUCAGUAUUUUUUUACAGUGAAGCAGUUGUGUUUGUUGUACCAUCACUUGACUAUAUGCUCUAUCAUUUAAUGUUAUUCACCAGACAAUCCUUGGCUGUGCAGACACUCUAAAAAUAAUUAUACUGUCAACAGACACACAGCUUCUGCCAGUGUCAAGACACCGGCUGUUAAAUGCUACUUUGAUGUAUAAAUAUCAAAAAACAGUGAAUGCCAUGGCCAGUUGAGUUACAAAUAGAAACAAUGAUCCACAGUGUGCUAAAAUAACACUAUUUGCGUUAGCUAAACCAGUGACAAUUCUGAACUGUCAACAAUACUUACAAUACUGAUUUACAGCGUCCACUAUUGUUCAUGUGCAACAACGGCAUCAAAUGCUUUCCUCUCCAUCUGCACUCUGAAAAUACUCCUGUAAUCCAGGCUGUAAAUAUUUUUAAUGUAUGUGACUCAUACUGACGUUUGUCCUCAGGAGCCAACCUCAGAUCUUCAUGCAAGUUUAAAAUUCUUCUUUAAGACUCCAAGUUUGGCAGGCUGCAGAAAACAGGGGGAAAAAAUAUUAAUGGUUUCUCACCUAACAAGCGCCUUGACGGUGGAGCGCACCACACUGGAGAGCAGGAAGAGGGGGGUGACCAGGAUGUGAAAGAGGGACAGAGAGGCAAAGGCCACAGCUGGGGACAGAUCAGCGUCCUCGGAGAUGUGAACAUGAACCACAAACGUCUGCCAGAUGACAGGGAGGACAGAAUGGCCAGAAUGAAAGAUGAGUCAUGUUUCCACCUGUCCUUGGCUGCUUUCCCACCACCCACCACCUUUGGCAAGCAUGCCGGAUUCUGAAAUCCCCAGGACACACAGAACCAGAAGGAGAUGGAUGUGACACUCACUCACUCGCCCUCUCCUUCAUCUGUCACAGGAUAAUAUGUGCUACUGGAGACAAGAGGGAUGACAGCAUGAUUUGUUUUUAUUUCCUUUGUAAUAAUACCUUUUUACAGUGGCUGCCUCUUAGUAGUGAGUCAUAUGUAACCCUGGCUUUUGGCAUGGCAAUGUUGCGGAGCCACCAAUCCCACACAGUUUCUUUCAGCUUCUCACAUGAAUCACACCUGAAGUGUGUGUUGUUUUUAAAAAGCUCCAUGCUGCUUACAGUUACAUACAGUACAGUCACUCCCGCUAAUUCGCCAGACUGCUUCCUAACUGCGAUAUUUCCCUCAGCACCUCAAGAAACACUGCGACUGACCUUUUGGGAGGUCUAACAGGACUAUGCGUCUACAACCAUGCUAGCGGCUAUAUUUGGAGUGAUGGUUUGAAUUAAAAAUUAACAUCAGCUUGCUGACAUUUUCACAGUGACAAUGCUGACAUGAUAAUGUUUAGCUGAUAUUAUGUCUAUGUACACCAUCUUGGUUUAGCACAAAGCUGAGGCUGAUGGUGAUGUCAUUAGGUUUACAGGUAGUGAUAAUUUAAAAAAGAAAUCAAAAGUAAUUAAGAUUCAUCCAUUGGAAACUGUGAAUGUCUGUACAAAAUUCUGUGCUAAUCUAUCUUGUAGAUGUCGAUAUAUUUUACAGGAUAAGUAAAUACUAAUUGACAGACUGGUGGUGCUCCUGCCUAUAAAAAGUCAGGGGAUCACAAAAGAGAUUGCAGUUCAUUCUGAGGGGAACAAGAAUAUCUCUACUAAAUUUCAUGGUAACCUGUCAAAUAGCUGUUGAGAUUUUCCAGUCUGGACCAAAGUGGUGAGAUUGGACCAAAACUGCCAUCGCUAGAGCCAUACUCCUAGCAUGAUUAAAAACAGGAUAGGCACAACAGUCUUCUCUCUAGAUACAUACCAAUAUGCAUUUUUCUGUAUUUGGAGAUUAUCUCACGUGAAAGCAAUUCAAUAAGCAGCGUCAAACCAUUUAUUUUCUGAUUAACUGCAAACGCUUUGAAUUUAAUGAACAUUAAAGAUGACAUGGAAAUUAGAGAAAUAGAAAACACUGAGCAAAAGAGUCAUGUGUUUUGUUUACACAGUACAUGAGCAAUAUUAGCUGGCAGCUCAAGUCUACCGAGCCUCUGAUCGAUACACCUUUUUUCACAGCACACCUUCUGGCUUAUCUUAACAGGU